rnacentral:rRNA from 1 species
UCUGAUUAGCUUGUUGGUGAGGUAACGGCUCACCAAGGCCACGAUCAGUAGGGGUUCUGAGAGGAAGGUCCCCCACAUUGGAACUGAGACACGGUCCAAACUCCUACGGGAGGCAGCAGUGAGGAAUAUUGGUCAAUGGACGAGAGUCUGAACCAGCCAAGUAGCGUGCAGGAUGACGGCCCUAUGGGUUGUAAACUGCUUUUGUUUGGGAAUAAUCGACAUUACGUGUAAUGUUUUGCAUGUACCAUUCGAAUAAGGACCGGGCUAAUUCCCGUGCCAGCAGCCGCGGUAAAU